rnacentral:lncRNA from 1 species
CUCAAAUGGGAAACUGCACAUGAGAGAAGAUUUGCCUGCCUUCUCACCAGUGGGAGCUGUGCCGGGUCCACUGCAGUAUGACAUUCAAAGUCAUUCUAAUUACCUCCCUUGCAAUGCAAUUCACCUUUUGGGUUCCCAGUCAAGGUGAGGAGAGGAGGUGAAGAUGAGAGGAGAGGAUAUUUGUAACAAAAUAUUAGGUUUUCAAGAGCUUUCACCUGCUUUUUAGCAGUAGAAUCCUUUUGUAAAUGCAAUCAUACUCAGAACCUCAAUAUACAAAGUUCAUAAAAUCAGAACCUUUCUUAUCUAAGUUUUGAAAGCAGACCCAAAACACUGUCAGCUCGACUUUCUCCAGGUACUCUAAAGUUGUCAGUUAAAAAACACUGAUCUUUUAGCAGUUUCUUAUAAAGCUCAAUGUAGUCUUACCAUAUGAUCCAGAAAUCGUGCUCCUGUUUACCUAAAUGAGUUGAAAAUUUAUGUCCACACAAAAACCUGCACACAAAUGUUAACAGGAGCUUUGUUGAUAAUUAGCAACAAUUGGGAGCAAAUAAGAUGACCUUCAGUAGGUAACUGGAUAAACAAACUGUGAUACUAAAUACAUCCAUACCAUGCAAUGGUGUUCAGCAAUAAAAUGAAAUGAGCUACAAAGCCAUAAAAAUACCUAGAGGAACCUCGAAUGCAUAUUACUAAGUGAAAGAAGCCAGUCUGAAAAGGCUUCAUACUGUAUAUGCCAACUAUGUGACAUUCUGAAGAAGGCAAAACUACAGAGACAAUUAAAAGAUCAUUGGUUGCCAGGGGUUGGGAGGCAAGUGAACAUAAUAAAUAGGUGGAACAUAGAGGAUUUUUAAAGCAGUAACCCUAUUCUGUAACAUACUGUAAUGGUGUAUACCUGGCAUUGUGCAUUUGUCAAAACCUACAGAAUGUAUAACACCAAGAGUAAACCCUAAUGUAAGCUAUGGAUUUUAAAGAUAAUGUUAAUAUAUCAAGAUUGUUUCAUCAAUUGUAAAAACUGUACCACACCAAUGCAAAGUGUUAAUGAUAGGGGAAAUGAAAGCAAGGAGAAUGGGCGUAUAUGGGAGCUCUCUGCACUCUCUGCUCAAUUUUUUUGUAAAGCCAAAA